UACGGGGGGGGCAAGCGUUGUUCGGAAUUACUGGGCGUAAAGGGCUCGUAGGCGGCCAACUAAGUCGGAUGUGAAAUCCCCAAGCUUAACUUGGGAACCGCAUCCGAUACUGGAUGGCUUGAAUCCGGGAGAGGGAUGCAGAAUUCCAGGUGUAGCGGUGAAAUGCGUAGAUAUCUGGAGGAAUACCGGUGGCGAAGGCGGCAUCCUGGACCGGCAUUGACGCUGAGGAGCGAAAGCUAGGGGAGCAAACGGG
rnacentral:rRNA from 1 species